AUUACAUUAAUCACGAUACCUAUAUAUUCAUAGACCCUGCACAAUCUGUGACCUAAAUCAACAAGACUACCAAGCAGAACUAUCUUCAGGUACAAAGUCCUUAACAGAAGGGAAAAAGAAAAGUUUUUUUUGUGGGAAGAACUUUUAUUUAGCAGGUUUGCAGAAUCAUUUUGUCACUGCUCUCCUUCAUCUCCCAGUAGGCUGAGCUGCCUGGUUGAUCCGUCCAGGGGGACGGGUGUCAGACCAGUGCAGGUGUCAGUGGCUGCCGGUGAGUGAUUGCACCAUCAGCCUCCCACUGUGAUCUAUCAUGCGGGCCAGGCCAGUGAAGAAUCACAGCUACAGCAAGGUGCUGAGCCCAGCAACAUAUCAUUAAACAAGGUUACAAGGAGCAGAUUUGUUCCUAUGAUCAAUCUGGUCAACAAUGGUUCCACUUUACUGUUUUUUCAGCAAAGCGUAAACAGUGAACCUGUAUGUUUAGAAGAUGUCACGAUUGGCAGAAGAGAGGAAGUGGGGCUGCACCCAACUCAUUGAUCAACUUCAGGGAGGAGUGAUUUUGAAGAGAAUGAGAGAGUCCGAUAUUAAGCUAUGUUGGAUGAGAAUAAUGAAUUAACCUGCUCCAUUUCUGAAGCAGCCUCCUCCAGUCACUCCCUUAAUGUGAUCUAAUACCUGCUCAGCAAUCAGUAUGAAACUUGGCAUUGCUCGCUUAAACUGACCCGCCAGCACCUCCAGGCCACAAACAGAUGCCUCUGAUGAAUUCAAGCUCUGUGUGCAACAUCGCAACUCAAAGGGUUCCUCAUCUCCUUUGAAACUCCCUGCAUUUAGAACAAUCUUAAAAUAUCAUGUGAAGUGCCAUUGGGUUAUAGACUGGGUGGAUGAAUCAUUGCACUUUAACUUGUAAAUGGGAAAUGCACAACACCAAGUAGUUUGAGAUGUGAUACAAUGGAAACGUUUUAUUUUGGCAUUAACUCUUAAUUGUUUUCAUAUAGUAAGAUUGUGGCUCGUGCUUUCAUGUUGCUUUACAAAUUUAUUUCCUUUGAAAUACUAAAAAUGGCUCGCGUUCUUAUGCUGUGGAAUUAAAUGGUAAGGCACUCCUACCCCACGAGAGACAGCAAUCAUUUUGCUGAAGGCCACCUAUGAUGGACUUUGCAUGGGAUUUGCACUCAAAAUGGGGACUUACCUUUGUUGCAUUUAUAUCAACAGGAAUGAUAUACUGAAUGCGAUAGUUCUUCAUUUCCACAGUGCAUAAUCAUGAUCCUCUCCACACUAGAACACAAAAGUAGGAAAAAAAAAUCCCUUUAACAAUGGCUGCAUAACAGAGUCCCUGCACACACACCUUGUGCCUGGAGAACGCACACAGGGUCUAUUACAGUCAUUUGAAUAAACCGACCCCAUCGAAUCUGAUGAGGUCAGCUCUCCCACUCUACCUACAAAAAUGCCCCUGCCCUUAUAUGCUGUCAUCCAUUUUAUUUCCAGUUAAAUGAACUGUAAUGGUUAUAUGGCAUCCACACAUUACUAUGUACAAUGUUGCUAUUACUGGGUAUUUAAUAUUCUGCAUUGACUCUGCUGUAAUGUGGGUACAAAGCUAAAAGUUCUCACCAUCAGCUUGAACGGACCCUUGUGAUUGUGUGAGGGCACUUGGGUUAAUGACACCAAGGGGGAGUCUUAGUUGAUCUAAUUAUUAACUUUCUUUUGCCAUUUAUUUUCGCAGAGAAAAUAUUAUGAUUAACCCCGACUGUCUUCUGCAGUGCUGCAUUCACUUUAAUGGGACCAUUUUUUUCGAAACCCAUUGGCCUCGUCAGACGCAAAAUCAUUUUAUACUUAAUGAUUUUAGUAUCAGAAAUUCACUCGAUAAAGAAAUUGAGUUAAAUGCUAUUAUUUCUCCAACUUGGUUGAAAUAUUAAUAUGUC